rnacentral:rRNA from 1 species
UCCAGACUCCUACGGGAGGCAGCAGUGGGGAAUAUUGCACAAUGGGGGGAACCCUGAUGCAGCGACGCCGCGUGGGUGAAGGAGUAUUUCGGUAUGUAAAGCCCUCUCAGCAGGGAAGAACAAUGACGGUACCUGACUAAGAAGCACCGGCUAAAUACGUGCCAGCAGCCGCGGUAAUACGUAUGGUGCAAGCGUUAUCCGGAUUUACUGGGUGUAAAGGGAGCGCAGGCGGCGCGUUAAGCCUGGUGUGAAAGCCCGCGGCCCAACCGCGGGACUGCAUUGGGAACUGGCGCGCUGGAGUGCCGGAGGGGUAGGCGGAAUUCCUAGUGUAGCGGUGAAAUGCGUAGAUAUUAGGAGGAACACCAGUGGCGAAGGCGGCCUGCUGGGCUUUUACUGACGCUGAGGCUCGAAAGUGUGGGGAGCAAACAGGAUUAGAUACCCGAGUAU